rnacentral:lncRNA from 1 species
AAUAUGAAAUUGUGUUUUACUAAUAUUUAGUCAACCAAAAUAUUUUUCAUAUGAUUGUCUCUUGUUUAUGUACAUUUUGUAUAUUUUUCAUAUUUUAUGACUUAUAAAAUAAUUGGUAUGAAUUUUUGAAGUUGGUCAGGAGUAUCUAAGUCUAAAUCGUACCAAAAAGAGAUUUUGGCAAUUUUUUCAAUUUUAAAAGAUAAAAAUUGUUCUAAGAUCCGUAACAGUAUUAAGUCGACCUAGACUAAAUCCACCUGAUACUCUAGAACCAUCAUCUCCAGUCAGCUCAAUUAGAGGACCAAGGAAAGUCUAAUAUCAUACCAAAAGCUGGCAGCAUGCCACAACAAAUCUCACAAAAAACAAAUGGUCCUGCCAAAUAAGUGAAGAGUAACCAAAUAAGUUUUAAGUCCAAGCACUUUGUUCCAGGGACUGAGUCAUGAUCAAGUCCUCCACACUCCUUAGAAGUGCAAACUGAAUCCCAUGAGACUUUAGCUCCCUUGGCAC